rnacentral:rRNA from 1 species
AGUGAACGCUGGCGGUAGGCCUAACACAUGCAAGUCGAACGGCAGCACAGUAAGAGCUUGCUCUUACGGGUGGCGAGUGGCGGACGGGUGAGGAAUACAUCGGAAUCUACUUUUUCGUGGGGGAUAACGUAGGGAAACUUACGCUAAUACCGCAUACGACCUACGGGUGAAAGCAGGGGAUCUUCGGACCUUGCGCGAUUGAAUGAGCCGAUGUCGGAUUAGCUAGUUGGCGGGGUAAAGGCCCACCAAGGCGACGAUCCGUAGCUGGUCUGAGAGGAUGAUCAGCCACACUGGAACUGAGACACGGUCCAGACUCCUACGGGAGGCAGCAGUGGGGAGUAUUGGACAAUGGGCGCAAGCCUGAUCCAGCCAUACCGCGUGGGUGAAGAAGGCCUUCGGGUUGUAAAGCCCUUUUGUUGGGAAAGAAAAGCAGCAGGUUAAUACCCCGCUGUCCUGACGGUACCCAAAGAAUAAGCACCGGCUAACUUCGUG